GACGAACGCUGGCGGCGUGCUUAACACAUGCAAGUCGAACGGAAAGGCCCUGCUUUUGUGGGGUGCUCGAGUGGCGAACGGGUGAGUAACACGUGAGUAACCUGCCCUUGACUUUGGGAUGACUUCAGGAAACUGGGGCUAAUACCGGAUAGGAGCUCCUGCUGCAUGGUGGGGGUUGGAAAGUUUCGGCGGUUGGGGAUGGACUCGCGGCUUAUCAGCUUGUUGGUGGGGUAGUGGCUUACCAAGGCUUUGACGGGUAGCCGGCCUGAGAGGGUGACCGGCCACAAUGGGACUGAGAUACGGCCCAGACUCCUACGGGAGGCAGCAGUGGGGAAUAUUGCACAAUGGGCGGAAGCCUGAUGCAGCAACGCCGCGUGCGGGAUGACGGCCUUCGGGGUGUAAACCGCUUUCGCCUGUGACGAAGCGUGAGUGACGGUAAUGGGUAAAGAAGCACCGGCUAACUACGUG
rnacentral:rRNA from 1 species